GACGAACGCUGGCGGCGUGCUUAACACAUGCAAGUCGAGCGGUAAGGCUCCUUCGGGAGUACACGAGCGGCGAACGGGUGAGUAACACGUGAGUAAUCUGCCCUUCACUUCGGGAUAACCACCGGAAACGGUGGCUAAUACCGAAUACGACCAGUCUUCGCAUGAGGUGCUGGUGGAAAGUCUUUUCGGUGAAGGAUGUGCUCGCGGCCUAUCAGCUUGUUGGUGGGGUAAUGGCCUACCAAGGCUUCGACGGGUAGCCGGCCUGAGAGGGUGACCGGCCACAGGGGGGUGGAGACAGGGCCGGGACGCCGGGGGGGGGAGGGGGGGGGGAUGAGGGGAGAGGGGGGGAAGGCCGGCCCCGCCAACGCGGGGGGGGGGAGGGCGGCGUGGGGGUGGUAACCCUCUUUCAGUACCGAGGAAGCCCCUGGUCGGGUGGGGAGGGUAGGUAAAAAAGAAGGCCCGGCCAACUCCGUC
rnacentral:rRNA from 1 species